GCGUCAUUGUCAAACCUCAAGCCUAGCUUGGUAUUGGGCUUUUCAUCCCUAGGGAUGAGCCUAAAAGUUAGUGGCGGUGCCACCGAGCCUCAAGCGUAGCAGAAAUACCUCGCUUUGGAGUAUCGGUUUUGGUCACUAGCCUUAAACCCCAACUUCUAAAGUUUGACCUCGGAUCAGGUAGGGAUACCCGCUGAACUUAA
rnacentral:misc_RNA from 1 species